GCUUAACGCGAAGAACCUUACCUGGGCUAGAAAGCGCAAGAACCUCGGUGAAAACUGAGGGUGCCCUUCGGGGAACUUGUGAUUAGGUGCUGCAUGACUGUCGUCAGCUCGUGUCGUGAGAUGUUGGGUUAAGUCCCGCAACGAGCGCAACCCUUGCUGUUAGUUGCCAUCAUUAAGUUGGGCACUCUAACAGGACUGCCGACCUUUAAGUCGGAGGAAGGUGGGGAUGACGUCAAGUCCUCAUGGCCCUUACGUCCAGGGCUACACACGUGCUACAAUGAACGGUACAAAGGGUCGCGAAACCGUGAGGUGGAGCCAAUCCCAAAAAGCCGUUCUCAGUACGGAUAAGAGUCUGCAACUCGACUCUUUGAAGUCGGAAUCGCUAGUAAUCGCAGAUCAGCAUUGCUGCGGUGAAUACGUUCCCGGGUCUUGUACACACCG
rnacentral:rRNA from 1 species